rnacentral:tRNA from 1 species
GGCUCUGUAGUUGAAAAUUGGUUACAACAGUAAAUUGCAAAUUUGAAGGUAUGGUAAUACAGUUCCAUUAGGGCAU